GACGAACGCUGGCGGCGUGCUUAACACAUGCAAGUCGAACGGAAAGGCCCUGCUGUUGUGGGGUGCACGAGUGGCGAACGGGUGAGUAACACGGGAGUAACCUGCCCUUGACUUUGGGAUAACGUCAGGAAACUGGGGCUAAUACCGGAUAGGAGCGCCUGCUGCAGGGUGGGGGUUGGAAAGUUUCGGCGGUUGGGGAUGGACUCGCGGCUUAUCAGCUUGUUGGUGGGGUAGUGGCUUACCAAGGCUUUGACGGGUAGCCGGCCUGAGAGGGUGACCGGCCACAUUGGGACUGAGGUGCCGCCCAGACUGCUACGGGAGGCAGCAGUGGGGAAUAUUGCGCGCUGGGCGGCAGCCUGAUGCAGCGACGCCGCGUGCGGGAUGACGGCCUUCGGGUUGUAACCCGCUUUCGCCUGUGACGAAGCGUGAGUGACGGUAACGGGUAAAGAAGCACCGGCUAACUACGUG
rnacentral:rRNA from 1 species